rnacentral:piRNA from 1 species
UCUUUCAGUAGUAUAUCGCCC